rnacentral:rRNA from 1 species
AACGAACGCUGGCGGCAGGCCUAACACAUGCAAGUCGAGCGAGGACUUCGGUCCUAGCGGCGGACGGGUGAGUAACGCGGGGGAACGUGCCCUUUGCUUCGGAAUAGCCCUGGGAAACUGGGAGUAAUACCGGAUGAGCCCUUUGGGGGAACGAUUUAUCGGCGAAGGAUCGGCCCGCGUUGGAUUAGGUGGUUGGUGGGGUAAUGGCCUACCAAGCCGACGAUCCAUAGCUGGUUUGAGAGGAUGAGCAGCCACACUGGGACUGAGGCACGGCCCAGACUCCUACGGGAGGCAGCAGUGGGGAAUCUUAGACAAUGGGGGAAACCCUGAUCUAGCCAUGCCGCGUGAGCGAUGAAGGCCUUAGGGUUGUAAAGCUCUUUCAGCUGGGAAGAUAAUGACGGUACCAGCAGAAGAAGCCCCGGCUAACUCCGUG